AUGUCACACAGAUGAUAAAGAGCAAGGAUAGACCUCUUCAUUUCAUGUUUGAGGCAAUUCUCUAAGACAGCUGAUUUCUCCAGAGCUGGUAGGUAAGUAUCUACCUCCCAGAAUGCAAUGUGUCCAGAGAUUAUAAUAAGUGAAAUAUUGGAUUGCCAAUAUUCUUUUCUCUUGUCCUUCUACGCUUGGAUUCUUUUUUUAAGUUUAUUCCCCACUGUAGGAGACAGACUUGCUCACGUGAUAGAUCCGGCCAUGAUAUUGUCCCUAAGAGAACGAGAUGCUCUUUGCAGAAGACAUAGAAGAUUCCUGAAACUGGGAAAGGGGCCUAGAAACCUGGAGAAGAGUGAAGAAGGCAUUUUCCCUCCCCUGCUUAGGCAUCUGCCACCAUAUUCAAUACUUUCUCCAGGGUUCUCAGGUUUCCCAUUGGCUUGGAAUUUGUCAAUUAGUUUUGCUGGCUGGACAGAAAGCCACACGGAUCCUCUU
rnacentral:lncRNA from 1 species